CACUCCGUCCAUCCGUGUGAUCUCGUCCCUGUCGUCUCCUCCUGUGACUGCUUGUGACGUCCACUAGUUUGAGUUGUCUCUUAGUGAGGACAUCCUUGUCCAUCUUCUCUCCAGGUUCCUCUGAUCAGCGUGUGUGUGUGUGUGUGUGUCUCUCUGUGUGUGUGUGUGUGUGUGUGUGUGUG